GAUGAACGCUGGCGGCGUGCCUAAUACAUGCAAGUCGAGCGAGCAGAUAAGGAGCUUGCUCCUUUGACGUUAGCGGCGGACGGGUGAGUAACACGUGGGUAACCUAUCUAUAAGACUGGAAUAACUCCGGGAAACCGGGGCUAAUGCCGGAUAACAUGUUGAACCGCAUGGUUCUACAGUGAAAGGCGGCUUUGCUGUCACUUAUAGAUGGACCCGCGCCGUAUUAGCUAGUUGGUGAGGUAACGGCUCACCAAGGCAACGAUACGUAGCCGACCUGAGAGGGUGAUCGGCCACACUGGAACUGAGACACGGUCCAGACUCCUACGGGAGGCAGCAGUAGGGAAUCUUCCGCAAUGGGCGAAAGCCUGACGGAGCAACGCCGCGUGAGUGAUGAAGGUCUUCGGAUCGUAAAACUCUGUUAUUAGGGAAGAACAAAUGCGUAAGUAACUGUGCGCGUCUUGACGGUACCUAAUCAGAAAGCCACGGCUAACUACGUG
rnacentral:rRNA from 1 species